UACGUAGGGUGCAAGCGUUAAUCGGAAUUACUGGGCGUAAAGCGUGCGCAGGCGGUUCUAUAAGACAGAUGUGAAAUCCCCGGGCUCAACCUUGGAACUGCAUUUGUGACUGUAGAGCUGGAGUGCGGCAGAGGGGGAUGGAAUUCCGCGUGUAGCAGUGAAAUGCGUAGAUAUGCGGAGGAACACCGAUGGCGAAGGCAAUCCCCUGGGCCUGCACUGACGCUCAUGCACGAAAGCGUGGGGAGCAAACAGG
rnacentral:rRNA from 1 species